rnacentral:lncRNA from 1 species
GCCGCAGAGGUCAUGGAUCGUCUGGUGGAUGUCUUUCGGGGAGGCAUCAGGUAGAGAUCUGGCAGGAGAAGGAGAAGAAGAUGUCGGAGAAGAUGAUCGGAUACGAUCCCAUUGAGCACUCCUUUAAGAACAAAGGUACUGCGAAGACACAGGCCCUUCCUCUAACGCCAAUUCUGUUGGUGCAGAAUUUUGCCGAUGCUGGAGAAGCUGGAGUCGAGAGGAUCGUGUCCGCCGCUAGGACCUGUAAGAAAAAUCUAAAUCGGAGUUAGGGGUACUCUGACAAGAUCCUCUGACGCUCAAGUCAGU